GAUGAACGCUGGCGGCGUGCCUAACACAUGCAGGUCGAGCGAUUCUCUUCGGAGAAGAGCGGCGGACGGGUGAGUAACGCGUGGGUAACCUGCCCUGUACACACGGAUAACAUACCGAAAGGUAUGCUAAUACGAGACAAUAUACUCUUAUCACAUGGUAAAAGUAUCAAAGCUUUUGCGGUACAGGAUGGACCCGCGUCUGAUUAGCUAGUUGGUAAGGUAACGGCUUACCAAGGCGACGAUCAGUAGCCGACCUGAGAGGGUGAGCGGCCACAUUGGAACUGAGACACGGUCCAAACUCCUACGGGAGGCAGCAGUGGGGAAUAUUGCACAAUGGGCGAAAGCCUGAUGCAGCAACGCCGCGUGAGUGAUGAAGGCCUUCGGGUCGUAAAGCUCUGUCCUCAAGGAAGAUAAUGACGGUACUUGAGGAGGAAGCCCCGGCUAACUACGUGCCAGCCGCCGCGGUAA
rnacentral:rRNA from 1 species